GUUCCAAGUGGAAAUCCUAGUGAUGGCCUAGAUGCAUCCACAUGUGGCGGUGCAUAAUACUGAUUCUCCAUAUCAACAAUCCGCAAUUUAGACAAAAAUGGAAUUGUGAGGCUGAGAUCUUAAGUAAAGAAAUUUUUUAGUGGAUCAAAAAAAGGGUGGUUCUUUCAAUUUCUUGUUGAACUUGCAACUUAGCUCAUCCAAUGUAAAGGAGAACUAGCAAGAAAGAAAAUUCAACUUUUUUUUUUUUUUUUUU